GAUGAAGAACGUAGUGAAAUGCGAUAAGUAAUAUGAAUUGCAGAAUUCAGUGAAUCAUCGAAUCUUUGAACGCACAUUGCGCCCGCUAGUAUUCUGGCGGGCAUGCCUGUCCGAGCGUCAUUUCAACCCUCAAGCCCCCGGGCUUGGUGUUGGGGAUCGGCGAGCCUCCGCGCCCGCCGUCCCCUAAAUCUAGUGGCGGUCUCGCUGUAGCUUCCUCUGCGUAGCAGCACACCUCGCACUGGGAAACAGCGCGGCCACGCCGUUAAACCCCCAACUUCUGAACGUUUGACCUCGGAUCAGGUAGGAAUACCCGCUGAACUUAAGCAUAUCAAUAAGCGGAGGA
rnacentral:misc_RNA from 1 species